rnacentral:rRNA from 1 species
GACGAACGCUGGCGGCGUGCCUAAUACAUGCAAGUAGAACGCUGAAGGAGGAGCUUGCUUCUCUGGAUGAGUUGCGCACGGGUGAGUAACGCGUAGGUAACCUGCCUGGUAGCGGGGGAUAACUAUUGGAAACGCUAGCUAAUACCGCAUAAGAGUAGAUGUUGCAUGACCUUUACUUAAAAGGUGCAAUUGCAUCACUACCAGAUGGACCUGCGUUGUAUUAGCUAGUUGGUGGGGUAACGGCUCACCAAGGCGACGAUACUUAGCCGACCUGGGAAGGUGAUCGGCCACACUGGGACUGAGGCACGGCCCAGACUCCUACGGGAAGGAGCAGGAGGGAAUCUUCGGCAAUUGACGGAAGGCUGACCGAGGAACGCCGCGUGAGUGAAGAAGGUUCUCGGAUCGGUAAGCUCCGGUGUAAGGGAAGAACGAGAGUGAGAGGGGAAAGUGCACACUGUGACGGUAUCUUAUCAGAAAGGGACGGCUAACUACGUG